CAAAUUUCUAUGCAUGGAUUCAAAGAAUCCUCGUAAUAUACAGACUACAUUCUCCCCAGCUUUUUAUCUCUAUAUAUUCUUUUUGUUGAGUUUCAACCACAUAGGGUUGAAAUUCACCUUCCCACAUUACAUUUUUCAUCAAUAGUUGAAGACCUAUGUAUGUAAAUAUCAGGAACUAUCAGAACUCCCUGCAACAGGAAACCUGACCCCCAACUCCCCCGAAAUGCAUCAUGAUAAACAGUCACUUGCCAAAAUAACAAAUCAGCUUCCUGGAACAUGCUUGCUCAAAACCAGGAGAGGAGCUUAGAGACGUCAGCUUGACUUCUGCCUCGUACGCAGGAAGGGUGACCUUCAAAGAUCAAACAUCGUCCCAAAUCUCCCUUCAUCUUGUAGUACUCCUGCUUGUCGUAGCUCCUGUUACCAUCAGAGACAGAAUGUGCUAUAACCUUCUGGAAACUUCUACUAUUUU
rnacentral:lncRNA from 1 species